rnacentral:rRNA from 1 species
GAGUUUGAUCAUGGCUCAGGAUGAACGCUGGCGGCGUGCCUAAUACAUGCAAGUCGAACGAAACUUCUUUAUCACCGAGUGCUUGCACUCACCGAUAAAGAGUUGAGUGGCGAACGGGUGAGUAACACGUGGGCAACCUGCCCAAAAGAGGGGGAUAACACUUGGAAACAGGUGCUAAUACCGCAUAACCAUAGUUACCGCAUGGUAACUAUGUAAAAGGUGGCUAUGCUACCGCUUUUGGAUGGGCCCGCGGCGCAUUAGCUAGUUGGUGAGGUAAAAGCUUACCAAGGCAAUGAUGCGUAGCCGAACUGAGAGGUUGAUCGGCCACAUUGGGACUGAGACACGGCCCAAACUCCUACGGGAGGCAGCAGUAGGGAAUCUUCCACAAUGGGCGAAAGCCUGAUGGAGCAACGCCGCGUGGGUGAAGAAGGUCUUCGGAUCGUAAAACCCUGUUGUUAGAGAAGAAAGUGCGUGAGAGUAACUGUUCACGUUUCGACGGUAUCUAACCAGAAAGCCACGGCUAACUACGUGCCAGCAGCCGCGGUAAUACGUAGGUGGCAAGCGUUAUCCGGAUUUAUUGGGCGUAAAGGGAACGCAGGCGGUCUUUUAAGUCUGAUGUGAAAGCCUUCGGCUUAACCGGAGUAGUGCAUUGGAAACUGGGAGACUUGAGUGCAGAAGAGGAGAGUGGAACUCCAUGUGUAGCGGUGAAAUGCGUAGAUAUAUGGAAGAACACCAGUGGCGAAAGCGGCUCUCUGGUCUGUAACUGACGCUGAGGUUCGAAAGCGUGGGGAGCAAACAGG